CAUCAUCACUAAAUUACAGAUCAUUGUGAAACUAUGCACCUGGGACUUUGCAUGUGGAUUUUUUUUCAGUUUUGUAAGAGUUAUUGCCCUUGACUUACAGUAGUAUAAAUUUGCAAUUUUCAACUUGUUGAUGCAUAGCACAAAAAGUAUUUUGUCCGUCCGUCGGUUUUUCAUUGUCCGCCCAAUAACUUGAGUUUCCUUUGGCCCACAGUCUUCAUAUUUUGGCGUGGAGGUUAGUUAUGAUUAGUAGAUGACCCCUAUUGAUUUUGAGGUCACUGGUCUUAGGGGCUUUGACUAAAAAAACUUGAUUUUAAAAUUUUCACAUUUGAAGCAUGGAGAAUACAUUUCUUAGCAAUGCACUCAGGCUUAGUAACCUCAGAUUUGCCAGGGUGGUUGUCCUGGAGUCCUAAAUGGCCACUGUUGAUUCUGACAGAGUGGUAUGCAGGGGUAUUCACACCAUGACAGCGGCAGUUCUAGUUUCAUUUUAUUUCUGUGUACAAUGUAUAUUUCAGAAACAAUAUAAUUUGUUUGUAUAUCUAUUUGUUUUAAGAGCCCCAGCUGAUGACCUCAGUGGAGUUCCUUUAAUGAUAUCUAUUAUAUUAUCAAAUUAUGAGUAUUGAACAGAUGAUGUACGGCAUACUAGAAGAAUGAUACAAUUUGUAUCAAGUUUUGGUUUCCCCUUAUUAACAACUCAAGAAAUGAGGUAAAAACCAACACAAAUAUACUUUAUCUUGUGAAUGUCAACAAGAGUGCAGUUGAGCUCUGGGUAUGAGUUUGUUUGUUUGUCAUUGUCUUCUCUUUUUUUCUAAAAAAACCAUAACAUAAAAGUGAGGAACAUGCGAAGUCGUCGAAAUAUUGCUACACAAAGAUAUUAAUAAAUCUAAUUACAUAUACAUGCUGCAACAUGCAUCUGCAAAAUUAAUCUAAUACUUCUUUCGUUUCCCUGAUAUGAUAUUAUGGAUUUUUGCACAUAGUUGUGCCACCGUUCUUCCUUCAAGUUUGUGAGAUAAACUCUCGAGAGUUUCCCCUGUCGGCAUUGUUUUCUGGCAGAUAUUAUCACUAAGGACAGAAUAAAAAAUUUAGUUCUCUGCUUCUGUCCAUCGUGUACGCUUCACGCUCUUUCUUCUACUUCUUCUACUCCACUAUUUCCUAACCCACAUGUCUGAGAUUUCAAAUUUUUAAACCAAUAGCUGGAAAGGUCCAUCAUAAUGUGAAACAGGGAUAAUCCAAAACAUCAAAGCACCCAUUAUUUUAUUUAUAUAUUUUUUGAAGGUAUAAAUAUAUCAAAUGAUAAUUAAAUGAAUGAAGAAUUUGAAAAUCAUAAUAUGUCUUUGAAUGAUAAUCACAGUUGUAAUGGCUUCUAGACUGCUUGUUUUGAAAUGUAUAAUACUCAGAAUUUCUCCCUAAAUAAUCACAUGAAACAGUCAAUCCCAGAAUGCCCCAUGAGAAAAUUAGUCAUGCAUAGAUAAAUAAAAGCCCAGGUGGUGCCAUUAGUUUUAUCUGAUCUCUGUGUUAUAGUCACAGAGAUCUGCUUGUGAAAUCUUUGUGGAUGCAGUAUUUAUUCAUCCUAAUUACCCUACUGGUUAAUAUAAUUUACACAUUAAUUUUACAUAUAUGAAAGGGCACAUGUAUGUGUUUAUUGUACACAUAAACUUGGCAAUUCUAAAUUGUAGUGAUAUGUAAUUGUACCAUUAUGUUAUUAAAUAAACAUAAUAUACAUGUUACUUCAGUAUUUUUAGUAAUGUAUAUGCCACUUACAAGUACUUGCAGUUUAAGUUAUGUUAAUUAUAGAAAAUUAAUAAAAUUUAACAUUGAAUUGAAAGCUCUUUUACAAAUCUGUUUUAAUAACAGAUUGGAAUAAUACUUUGAUAAUUGCACUCAUAAUUAAUCAAGAAUUUUGGCAAUUUUAUGUGACAUAAACACUGUUUUUUUGUAUAAUAGUUUUUGGUUUUGCUCUCUUAUCUAUGCUUAACAAUGGAAAAGAUAUCUUAUAACAAUGAUUAUAAAUAAUUUGAAUUCUUUGUGUGAUUACGAUUAAUUAUGAUACCUAUAUAGCCAUUAAUAUAUGUAUUUUAUGGCAACAAGGAUUUUUUAAAAACUUUUUCCAUGUUCUUCAUGGACCAACCAUGGACAAUUGUCCAGGGUUUGAACUUAUCCAUGGAUUUCCAUGCUAAGGCCAUGCAUAUCCAUGCUCCGACCAUGGAUUAAAACAUGGACAAUCUACAGCCGGGACCAGUUACAUAAGUGCAAUGGUCUCAAUAGAAUACGUUGUAGUAGGGGUCCAGGGGCAGAUAGGGGUGGGGUGUCCAAACACUGAUACUGCCACCUGUGGAUUUAAUGGGCUUCACCUAUUUACAUAAUUCACUUGAUGAUUUUUGGAUAUAAGGAAGGAAAGAUGUGUUACAAAAUUUAAAUUGCAAGUGUUUUUCAACGAUUGAAUCGGUUAUCGUUUGUGAGCUGUCUUGUUGUGUGAGUAGAUUGGUGAUUGAAGGCAGAUAACACUAGUUGCAGUGAAAUGUAAUUUUCAACGAUGAUAAAUUUUUAGUUUGUCAUCACACACACUUUUAUCGGUUUGUGAGCUGUUCUUCUGAAGAUUUCAACCAUUAAUCACGACGUUUCGGCCUGGCACUUAUUGCAAUGAAAUGCCAGUCAUCACAGCUGACAUGAAAGUGACAGUCGAAGUAAAAUUGAAUCGAUAAAUACGAACAUACAAACUAUUUAAUAGUGUAAGAGGCUACAGUUAUUUCAGCAAAAUAUAUUGUACCGUGUAUUUAAGUCGCGUUUCUUAAAUAAUAGUACUAUAAGUUUUGAAUAAGUAUUUAAUCCAUGCAAUAUGAAGUUAUUUAAAAUUACACAUGUGAAUUAAUAAACGUUCCUGUUGUAUAACCACAUACAUUGAAUACUAUUUUUUAUUUCUGUAAACGGUUUGUCAAAUGUGAUUUUCUUUCUGUAUUACUGUUUAAUAAAUGUCUUCCCCACACGAAA